CCUCCGCUACAGGGUUGAGGAAGGAGAGGGUGUGUCUGCCUGCCGGGCUACAAGCAGCCCUGAAGAUCUCUGAACCACACGCUUGCUGAGCCACUGUUUCAGCAGGGUGGCUUUGAACAGGACAGAGGAGGAAACAUCACUGGAAGUAAUGGAAUGUCACUGGAAGCUCUGGCUGAGGGAUCUUGAGGGACGGCAGUGAGAGCUCAUUUCGGAUCCUUGUGACCGCGGCCGUGUUGAUUGACAGUCUGCGUGGAGCUGAGCCCUUGGCUGAGCUGAUGGAGUGUGUGUUUCAGAGUGCAUCUGUGCUGCACAAUCGAUAGUCACUUAAAGCAGAAAUCAGAGACCGCUCGGAGGUGUGUUUGCCAUGCCGAAGCCACUGCAUCAAGACCAGCUUUGCCUUGCCUGGACCAUACUUCAGGAUCCUGACUGUCAUAAAGCGCUUAUUUUUUCAAUAAUUGAUUCAUUUUUCU